GUAUAACUGUAGAGUUGCGGUGUCCGCAGCAACUCACAACGUUCCCCCUCGUUUUACUUAUAUCCACUGCUUCGAACCUUCCACCACCCAGUCAGUCAGUCCGCUACGUCGAAAGCACCUUACACCUAAAGCUAAGUUCACGGCCACGACUUCUAACAAAAACACACAAACAAUAUCGAAAAAUAAAUGCCAAAUUGUAACCUUAAUUGGAAAAGUUCGGCCGCUUCCAACAUUUUGGUGACCUCGACGUGAUUGCCAUGGACUUGUCGUGUGUUAAUGGUUUAACGUAACAUUAGCCGUAACGAGCCAAAGAUCGUUGUGGCCGAUCGUGGCAGUUAUAGCGGCCCGCUAUUCGUUUUCGCCUCUCUUUCGCCGUCUGCUUCGUGAUCGGCUGCACGUAUCUCUCUCUCGAGUUCGAACUCGAAAUAGUGCAAAACAUCUCGAUCGUUCGUUUGUGCAUAACUGUUGGUUCUUUUUCGGUCGUCGCUUCGCUGUUUUGCCGGCGCAUACAUUUUGGACAUACAGUCAGCACAACAUUUAUUCGGACACCCGUCUAAUUCAGCUUUCUUUAUAAAUAACUUGAAAAGUAUUUAACUUUAACAAACAAUUUGUAUUUCAUUUUGAGCAUGGAUGUUACUUAUACUAAUUUUAAACAUAAACACAAAAAAAACUUUCUUUGGCAUUUAAAAAAAACUUAAAAGUAUCAAAAAGGCCACUUUUUUACGCUCAAUAAUUAUUCGGACACAUUUUAGUUUGUACGAAAAAAACUGUACGUUUUUCAUUUACUUUUUCGGAUUACGUUUUCAGCCAAAACGUUUCGUUUUCGUUUUAAGGUGCUCCAGUUGUCACAUAUUUUUGUUAUCGAUAUGUUUCAUUUUUCAUCGUUUCUGGCAAAUAAAAACAGUUGACCUGGCUGCUUUGUAAAAAUACAGCGUGAUUUAAAUGCCUUUUAUUUUUUCAAUUGCUUGUUUUGAAGAAAAAGGUCGGCAGAAAUUUCGUUAUUUAAGAAGAUCCAGAUUUCAUAGAUGCAACACUUGUGUAUUUAACAUGGCUGACGAACUAAUUGUGAAGUCAUUUCGGAUCGACAAAAAAACUUUCAAAAUGAUUUUGGAGAAAGUUCAACCCCAUUUAGGUGUUACCUGGAAGCUAUCUCCCUCUACGCAAUUGGCUUCAGUAAUGCGAUAUCUCGUCACUGGCUGGUACCAAUGGGCAGUUUCCAAAGAGAAACAUUGGACGCAGUACAUUUGGAAGGACUCUUCACAAACUUAUUCAGUUGAUGGACAGGCUGUUAUGUGUUGAGUUCAUUUCGUUGCAGAUGAAUAAUCAUCAAUUGCAA